GGGGUUGUUACGGAUUCGACAGGCAUUAUGAGGCCUAUUUUGCAACUCAUCGGCAGAUGUAAAAAUGCCAGUUAAAUAUAACUGCAAAAAAUAACACAACUUACGCUUUAGCUGCCUAAAAACCAGCCGGCGUGACUUCUAUAGGAUUGUUUGUGUCUUAUUAGAGGUCUCAAAACAGCAAGCUACGUUUAGGUGAUUGUCUAGUCACCUAAAAAGAGAACCCUAGACUCGCAGGCUGAUGGCUUGAGUUAUGUGUCCUUGGUCUGUUAAAGUAAGACAUAACCUAUGGUUGUAGACAAAUAGGUUAGCAGGUGUUUGGACGUGGGUUCGACUCCCACCAGCUCCAUCA
rfam:Streptococcus equi subsp. zooepidemicus H70, complete genome